GACCCCCAAGUGACCUCUGAUGCCCUUCAAGUGACCUCAGAUGACCCCCAAGUGACCUCUGAUGCCCUUCAAGUGACCCCAGGUGACCCCAAGUGACCCUAGGUGACCUCAGAUGACCCCCAAGUGACCCUAGGUGACCUCAGAUGACCCCAGUUGACCUCAGAUGACUCCCAAGUGACCUCCAAUGCCCUUCAAGUGACCCUAGGUGACCCCAGGUGACCCCCAAGUAACCCCAGGUGACCUCAGGUGACCCUCAAGUGACCUCUGAUGCCCUUCAAGUGACCUUAGGUGACCUCAGAUGACCCCCAGGUGACCCCAGGUGACCUCAGAUGACCCCCAAGUGACCCCAGGUGACCUCCAAGUGACCCUAGGCGGCCCUGAGAUGA
rnacentral:lncRNA from 1 species